GUCAAUCAACCUAGAGUUCAGCGUUAACUCAGUGUUUGUUAAAGCUCAGUUCAUGGAAAACCCCUCUGGUGAUAACGCUUAGUUCAAUCAACUCUGAGUCAAGGUAACUUUGAGUGAAGCUUGUGCAUGAGGAUAUAAAAAGCCCUCAUAAAUGGAACACAGAUAACAUGAUUCACCAUGGCAACAAGUACUAACAAGCCUCGAUCCUCCUACUUCUCCCCAGCGGAGUUGCAAAUCUUAAUGACUGCAUAUGCAGAAAGCGUGCAUAUCUUUUUACUAAAAAGCAAUACAAUUGGCAGCAGCCAAAAAGCGGGAGCUCGCGUGGGAAAAAAUAGCUGACCGAGUUAAUGCGUACAACCCAACAGGCCCCAAACUGACUUGGCAGCAACUAAAAAUGAUAUAUAAAUGUAGUUCAAACAGCCAACAGAAAAAAGGCAGAGGCACGCAAAACAGGUGGCGGUCCACCACCACCACCUCUCACAGAGGCUGAAGAGAUGGCAUCUCUGGGGGGAGCUCAUCGGACCCAGCCACGCCCCAGGACACAGGGGCCUACAUAAGAGUUACUGAUGAUGGUGUAAUCUGUCUCGUGGAGCCUUCUGCCAUAACACACCUCCAUACUGUUGAUGAUGUUGAAGACACCUUAUCAGCUGCCACAGAGAGGGAAGUAAUAACUUUGGUUUCAGUUAAUUGUUCCACAAUACAACUUGCAACUGCUUUCUCUCUAACAGAGCAAUGCCGGAAGUUACAAUGAGGAAGAAGGUCCAUCAACCUCCACAGCACAACUUACAAUGACACUAAGUAGACAUGGCACUGUGAAAUUCAACGUCAUUUAUGUUCCUAUAGCUCCCUGUGAAACAACUUUACAAAGUAUAUUUAGAAUCCCAAAUAAACAAAUCACACCUAGAAAUGGAGCACAUAAGGCUGCAGAUCACCAAAACAAAAAAGGAAAUACAACUGCUGGACCAUCAGUUAAAGGAAAUAAAGAAGACCCCAUAAAAUGA